rnacentral:rRNA from 1 species
CAGCCGCCGCGGUAAUACGGAGGGUGCAAGCGUUAAUCGGAAUUACUGGGCGUAAAGCGUGCGUAGGCGGUUCGUUAAGUCUGUUGUGAAAGCCCCGGGCUCGACCUGGGAAUGGCAAUGGAUACUGGCGAGCUAGAGUGUGUCAGAGGAUGGUGGAAUUCCCGGUGUAGCGGUGAAAUGCGUAGAGAUCGGGAGGAACAUCAGUGGCGAAGGCGGCCAUCUGGGACAACACUGACGCUGAGGCACGAAAGCGUGGGGAGCAAACAGGAUUAGAUACCCCAGUAGUCCCUGUCUCUUAUAC